ACUUUGAGAUUUAAAACUAAUCAUAACAUUGUUUUCACGAAUAUUUCUUUUAGUAAAAUUGAAUAGGAAAACGACGCGAACAUUUGGAAUUGAAACACACAGCUCCGCUUGACGUCAGCGAUACUUCGAGAGAUAAUGAAUUGUGGUCGCUUUGAACAAUAAGUGUUGAAGGCUGCAUUCUAUGAGGUGGUGAUUAUUUGUAAUAUCAUCAUAACAAUUCAGUUCCGGUUGGAAGGUUAAAAGAGGGCAUUUGCGUUUCAAGAGCAAACUAGGAUGUUUCUGUGAGCCGAUCGACGAUCAAUCGUGAUGCCAUUAUAUAGCCUCGCCCCUUUGCUUCUCACGCUCUACAUGGCUAUGACGUCACUGGCCCUUCCUGCUCUCGCCCCCGAGAAGCCUGGCAGAUUCUUCCGAAAGCGCCACAAAUAGCGUCUGUCCCUUUGACUGAAGCGACGUCAUUUUUGGCAGCCCUAAAAAAACAUGCUUUUCUAUCAUCAAAGCUGUAAAGAGUAAGAAAUACCACAUUUUCUUCAUGGAUCAGCAGCUGGAUAUCCCACCGGUUAUAAGUCACCAAGAUUUGCUGCCAAAAAGUCUUCACAGCGACAUUCGAGCCAAGAAGUCCAAACAUCAUUUACAAAUAUGCACAUGAAUGCUGUUAAGUUAGAUGAUAACUUAAGUAAAAUGAUAACUUAAGUAAAGCCCUGUAACAAAUUUACAGCCAUGCCCCUUAUAUUAAUUCCUUUAUACAUUUUUUUAUUUGGGGAAACCCCCUGCUAUGGCCAUGUAGUUUUGCAUAUUUUACAUUUACAAAAAAGACCCUAUCAUAAAAACAAACAAAUCUAAAGUAGGCCAAUCAUGCCACCGUUUUUUGCUCUCAGGCAAUGCCAAGUCACACAAAGCAUCCAUUUCCAUCGGCUUAUUCAAGCGAUUGACCAAGAUAUUUUCAUUCAAAUAUUGUCAAUAACAUAUCAGACUUCAUUUGUAGUUGUUAUUUUGAAGCUUCCUCAUGAAAAAAACUGAUAUGUGAAAAAAAUUCACCAUUCUAUGUUUUUACUUUAUUGUUACACCUUUGCCAUUGUCAACUAACAGCAUCCUUUGCAAUCAGAUAAGUUAUCUUUUCAUAUAGUUUAUCAAGCAUUGAACUUUAGAGGUCUUUUUUUAAGAUUUGAUUAAAGACAGCAAAAAUUGUGCGACAGAUACCUGUCUUUUGUGUGUGUGUUUUUUUUUUUAUUAAGACUAAGUAGAUAGGGAAUCCAGAUGAAACUCCCUAUGACUGGCAGCUUGAAAUUGUGUCUUUCCCUGAACGUUUCUUUUUCAGAGAAGGAAAGGCUGCUUUAAUGUCAUGUAGUUGGUUUCUAAGAACCAGGGCAAUAUCAUCAAAUGGCGUAGCAAAAGUCCUGUUGUUGAUCUCAAAACUGUCCUGUAGGAUUCUAAAACCUAUAGCCAUCAUGGUCUUUAGUUUUGUUCCUGCAAAAAAUAGCAAAUGUAAGCAAUAUUACAUUAUAUAUGUAGUGUAUGGAGUUGGCCAUUCACUUUUGAAAUAUCAGUAACAAUAUUAAAGCUCUUCCACACUCACCUUGAAAGGAGGAACUUUAAAGUUGUUAGCGUUGAAAUUCAGCGUCUCUUUUCAGCGUACUCAUGUUAUCAAGCUCUUGCCAACUAUCUGCACACUUUCUACUAGCUCGUCUCGGCCAAACGGGUACGGUUUUGGUCCUCAGGGAAGAGUUUUUAGAGGCUUCCGAACCCUCCAUCUACUCCAAAACUGACAAACAGAAUUUUUCUGAUGUAAGCAGCGAAACCUACUAAAACUACUGAAAACUUUUCAAAGCACACCUUUCUUUGAUCGCUGGUGAAAUAAACAGUAUUUUUUUUUUGAGAAACGGAGAUAUUAGUAAAGGAUCUGCCAGGCUACUCGAAGUCAGCAUGAAGCGUCCGCCAUAUUGGAAAAUGUGAGUGCUGACAGCAAGGGAGUAGCCUGGGGACGAGGCUAGCCAUUAUAUGUAGCGUUGCAGAAUGGUCCUCGUUGCAGAAGUGUCUAACCAAUCAGAUUGUCUCUUGUAUCUCCCAUACCGUCCAUCCAAUCAAAGUGCCUUGUGAUCGUGUCUUGUACCUCGUGGAGAUCGUGCUAAGGGGAGAUCGUUCAUAGGGUCGUGUUGGAAUUGUUAACUUGGUGAAUCACUUUUUUCAGCAUUUACCCUUUAUUCAAGGCUGGAAUGGCAGAAGAACCAGGAGACAUUCAAGGUCUUAAUGGUGGCAGCAACCAAUUAUGUGCCAUAGCAAGAUUCAAACAAUGACAACAUGCAAGUGAGCACCAUCACCUGAUCCAAGUGCCAACUGUGCCAGAAUGUGAACUUUUAUCGGAUCUGUAUCGUACAGUGAAAAAACGUUGUUUGAGAAGCUAAUCAUCCACCUUUCAACUGUGAUGGCGAGUAUUGAGAUUGCAGAUGUAACACAUCAUUUGAUUGUGACCUCGACACAGCUUGAGAUCGAAUCAGUACAAAUAGGGUGCAAGUGCAUAUAGUACAAAUGAAAUCCCCCAGCUUUCUGGUUUGUCUGAAGUUGAUCCGCCAAACUGUGACUCGCUUAAGCUGGCAACAAUGAAUCAGGUGGUUCCUGAUGAUACCCCCUGGUGAACCAGGUUAAUAUCCCUACCAUUUUCUGUUAUUAAAAAUGUAGAAAAUGGAUAGGGAGGGGACCAGUAACCUUGCGUUGUCUCUUUUUAUGUUUUAUUUUAAGACUCCACAACCAUACGUAGUAAACUGUAUGUCCGAUCGGGUCUUAUGGAGGUAAAUGACGGAGGAUCGUAUGACAGCAGUGCCGGAGAUAUGCUUUAAAUAUGAAUAACUAGCGCAGAUUUGUGUAGUAAAUAAAUACAGUUGUACUUUGAGUUGAAAUGUCAUUUGUUCUGUUCCUUGUUUAGUUCUUUAUAAAUUCAGUUUAUAACCUUUA